AAAGAGGAAGCGCACAUCAGCCAUGUCAAUCAGUGAAGAGACAAAACGACAGGAGGCAGGACAAGUACAGAACAUCGAAAUCUUGAUGUUGACGGACGCUGUCCUGUCUGAAAUUCUUCUUCACGUGUUCCUUGGGGAGGGUGAUUCCGGAUUGUUAAAUCUGUCUUUAGUUUGAUCUAAAUUCAGAAGUCUGGUGGAUACAGACUCGUUUAGGAGGAGGGCACACUUCUGCUGGCUUGACAGUGUAACAAAUUGGAGAGAGAAGACAUGUCAAGAAUAUUAUCAGAUGUUAUGUUGGAAGAGGAAAACGAGGAGAAAUCCAAGGCUUUUACUCGGAAAACACCCAUCCGGGGUUUUGCAGUGAUUGGUGUCAGCUGCUGGAGAGUGAAAAU